rnacentral:tRNA from 1 species
CGGGGCGUGGCGCAGUUGGCUAGCGCGCCUGCUUUGGGAGCAGGAGGUCGUGAGUUCAAGUCUCACCGCCCCGA